rnacentral:rRNA from 1 species
GCGGCAGGCUUAACACAUGCAAGUCGAGGGGUAUAGGUUUUCGGACCUAGAGACCGGCGCACGGGUGCGUAACGCGUAUGCAAUCUACCUUUCACAGAGGGAUAGCCCAGAGAAAUUUGGAUUAAUACCUCAUAGUAUAUCGAGUUGGCAUCAACAUGAUAUUAAAGAUUUAUCGGUGAAAGAUGAGCAUGCGUCCCAUUAGCUAGUUGGUAUGGUAACGGCAUACCAAGGCUACGAUGGGUAGGGGUCCUGAGAGGGAGAUCCCCCACACUGGUACUGAGACACGGACCAGACUCCUACGGGAGGCAGCAGUGAGGAAUAUUGGACAAUGGGCGCAAGCCUGAUCCAGCCAUGCCGCGUGCAGGAUGACGGUCCUAUGGAUUGUAAACUGCUUUUAUACGAGAAGAAACACUCCUUCGUGAAGGAGCUUGACGGUAUCGUAAGAAUAAGGAUCGGCUAACUCCGUGCCAGCAGCCGCGGUAAUACGGAGGAUCCAAGCGUUAUCCGGAAUCAUUGGGUUUAAAGGGUCCGUAGGCGGUUUAGUAAGUCAGUGGUGAAAGCCCAUCGCUCAACGGUGGAACGGCCAUUGAUACUGCUAGACUUGAAUUAUUAGGAAGUAACUAGAAUAUGUAGUGUAGCGGUGAAAUGCUUAGAGAUUACAUGGAAUACCAAUUGCGAAGGCAGGUUACUACUAAUUGAUUGACGCUGAUGGACGAAAGCGUGGGUAGCGAACAGGAUUAGAUACCCUGGUAGUCCACGCCGUAAACGAUGGAUACUAGCUGUUGGGAGCAAUCUCAGUGGCUAAGCGAAAGUGAUAA